rnacentral:tRNA from 1 species
GCCUUCGUAGUGUAAUGGUCAGCACACUCGGUGCGUAUUCGAGAGGUCCGAGGUUCGAGUCCCGGCAAGAGCA